rnacentral:rRNA from 1 species
UACGUAGGGUGCAAGCGUCGUCCGGAAUUAUUGGGCGUAAAGAGCUCGUAGGCGGUGUGUCGCGUCGGCCGUGAAAACCUGCAGCUUAACUGUGGGCUUGCGGUCGAUACGGGCAUCACUGGAGUUCGGCAGGGGAAACUGGAAUUCCUGGUGUAGCGGUGAAAUGCGCAGAUAUCAGGAGGAACACCGGUGGCGAAGGCGGGUCUCUGGGCCGAUACUGACGCUGAGGAGCGAAAGCAUGGGGAGCGAACAGG